GUCACUAGGGCUUGUUUGGGCUGCUCAGUGCUGAACGCUGGGGUGACAGGUUCUCCUGCCAUGGUGAAUCCUGGCAAGAUUUGCCUGGCUCUCUGACAUUCUGUAGCCCCAACAUAUGUGGGAGGAUGCCUGAAAGAAGUUUCAUCCUCAGGUGGUCUCUCCUCUCAACCUACACACCUUGGAGAGCCUUCCCCAGGGUAUGAUGGUGGCGAGUCUGGGACACAUUCAUCAGAAGGUCCUGCUCUCAGCAGAAAUUUGGAGCCUCCUGAGUGACCAGCAUUAAUGCCCCACUUCCCUUCUUGCACAACUCCCAGCUUCUCUACUGCCCAGUGAUGGAAUUAUUGAUUGGUGUUCAUACGCUAAAUACCCGGAAGGUCCUUUAAUAUCAUCACAGAAAUGUCAGGAGAAGUGGAGGACCACUGGCAGAAGAACCUGCCUCCCUGCUCCUUCAAAGGCCACAGACCCAUGAGAACCAUUCACUGUAGCCUGAGCCACAUGCCUGGAGGCCACAGCAGUGCACAGGAAAGCGGGGGGAAGUGGAAACGUGCGAGCAGACGGCUCAAAGCAACGGGCUCACCACCGGAAAAAAAAAAUAAAAAUAAACACGCUCAGAAAUAGUGUAA